AGCGGUUUCCGGUAACUCCUCGCGGUGUAUAGCAGCAGUCCUUUCCGAGAUUCUUCGUCAACAAUAUGCAUGCUAAUACAUUGUUCUUUUAAUUAUUAAUGAGGUAACCGAAAUGUCUACAGGUACAGUAAAGUGGUUUAACGAUAGUAAGGGUUAUGGAUUUAUCACGCCGUCCGACGGCAGCCCGGAUGUCUUUGUUCAUCAUAAUUCCAUCAAGGCUGAGGGAUUCAAAUCCCUGGCCGAGGGGCAGAGUGUGAGCUUUGAUACCGAGAAAGGUCCUAAAGGCCCGAGUGCAAUCAACGUGGUUGCGCAAUAGACCUGACCAGACAGUUUUUUAGUCUGGGAUAAAAAGCCCCGCCAAUGGCGGGGCUUUUUUU
rnacentral:sRNA from 1 species